rnacentral:lncRNA from 1 species
CAACAUACCAUUCUGAAAAUGGAAUAGAAGAUAUUGAUAAUAAUACUGGUGUUUUUCAAUAUUACUGUACAAGAGAUCACACAAGGCAUGCUGGGAUAAGAAUAGAAAUUUAUACUACUAUGGAAUAUUUCAACAUACCAUUCUGAAAAUGGAAUAGAAGAUAUUGAUAAUAAUACUGGUGUUUUUCAAUAUUACUGUACAAGAGAUCACACAAGGCAUGCUGAGAUAAGAA